CGAUACCAUAUCAUAUUCAAAUCCCUUUGCCAUCCACUUUAUUUGUUGAAGCAGAAGAGAGAGAGAGAGAGAGAGAGAGCGAGAGAGAGAGAGAGAGAGAGAGAGAGAGAGAGAGAGAGGGAGAGAUGGAUCCACCGGAAUCACAAUCCAUAGAUGUUUAUAGCAAAAGCAACAAAACCGAAGAUGCUCAGGACAGAGCCGUAGACGAGUGUUGUUCCUGUUGCUAUCUGUGCAUGGAGACUUGCUUCGAUUACUUGUUCUGCAACCUCUGCUGAUUUCUCCCUUCUCUUCCCAAUUCUUUGUAAUAAUAACUCUCUCUCUCUCUCUCCUGAAGUUUAUUGUUUCAGCCGCCAUAGCUCUGAACGAUGAACAUUUACUUUGUGUAUGAAUUACAUAUUUACAUGUUCUGGACUUUCUUCUUAA